rnacentral:lncRNA from 1 species
GCUUGCUUGCUUUUUGUCUAUGUAUUUUGUUUUUCUCCAAAAAGAUUUAAAAUCUCUUUUCAAAAAGACUUUAGAAAACAAAGAAGAAAUAGGAAAAAAAGAAAACAGAAAAUAAAAAAAAAGGAGAAAGGGGAGAAGCCCCUGGGAAAACCAGGCCGAGGCCCAGCCAGCCCCGCGCCCAGUUUCCCCCCACCCCCGCGUCGCGAGCGGCCCAGCUCGUUCUCGGCCCAGCGGCUAGGCCCGCGCACGCAGCACUCCCUCUCCCUCCCUUCUGCCGCCGACACCUCGGGCCCACCUGUCGGUGCCCUGUUCUUCUUCUCCAAAGCCGUAACCGAGACGAACCUUCCUUCUCCGACCGAAUCAAUCCCGAAGUCCGGGGAUUUCCUUGCCUUUUAGCGCAAACCGACACCUAGUUAGCCCCUAGCGACGCCCGCGUGCUCGUUUUCCUCCCGCGCCGCGGAAAAACCAAGCCUAGCCGCCCAGCUCACGCGCGGAGUGAAUCUCGCCGAGACCCG